GUGACAGAAGCCGUUUGAAACUUGAGUAACUCUGACAUUAAUCUCGAGAUGUGUGGUACCUAUAUAAAUGGUCACAGAAGCCGUUUGAAACUUGAGUAACUCUGACAUUAAUCUCGAGAUGUGUGGUACCUAUAUAAGUGGUGACAGAAGCCGUUUGAAACUUGAGUAACUCUGACAUUAAUCUCGAGAUGUGUGGUACCUAUAUACAAGUGGUCACAGAAGCCGUUUGAAACUUGAUUGAAACUCUGACAUU